rnacentral:rRNA from 1 species
UACGUAGGGACCAAGCGUUGUUCGGAUUUACUGGGCGUAAAGGGUGCGUAGGCGGCGUGUCAAGUCAGUUGUGAAAUCUUAAGGCUUAACCUUAAGCGGUCAACUGAUACUGUCAUGCUAGAGUGCAGAAGGGGCAAUCGGAAUUCUUGGUGUAGCGGUGAAAUGCGUAGAUAUCAAGAGGAACACCUGAGGUGAAGACGGGUUGCUGGGCUGACACUGACGCUGAGGCACGAAAGCUAGGGUAGCAAACGGGAUUAGAAACCCCCGUAGUCC